rnacentral:rRNA from 1 species
GACGAACGCUGGCGGCGUGCCUAAUACAUGCAAGUCGAACGCAGUGGGGACGGGUGAGUAACACGUGGGUAACCUCCCAUCAGAGGGGAUAACACUUGGAAACAGGUGCUAAACCGAUACUGAUGGAUGGACCCGCGGUGCAUUAGCUGGUGGGUGAGGUAACGGCUAACCAAGGCCACGAUGCAGAGCCGGCCUGAGAGGGUGAUCGGCCACACUGGGACUGAGACACGGCCCAGACGCCUACGGGAGGCAGCAGUAGGGAAUCUUGGGCAAUGGACGAAAGUCUGACCGAGCCAUGCCGCGUGGAUGAAGAAGGUUUUCGGAUCGUAAAGCUCUGUUGUUAGGGAAGCGGUACCUACCCAAAAAGCCACGGCUAACUACGUGCCAGCAGCCGCGGUAAUUC